UACAGAGACCUCGAGCGUUAUCCGGAUUUACUGGGCGUAAAGCGUCUGUAGGGGGAUUGUAAAGUUUCAAGUUAAAUCUUAAGGCUCAACUUUAAGUUCGCUUGGAAAACUUAUAAUCUGGAGCUUAGCAGAGGUGCAUGGAACUUGUGGUGUAGGAGUGAAAUCCGUUGAUAUCACAAGGAACACCAAAGGCGAAGGCAUUGCACUGGGCUAACGCUGACCCUGAGAGACGAAAGCGUGGGGAGCAAAACGG
rnacentral:rRNA from 1 species